rnacentral:rRNA from 1 species
UACAGAGGUCUCAAGCGUUGUUCGGAUUCAUUGGGCGUAAAGGGUGCGUAGGCGGCGCGGUAAGUCGGGUGUGAAAUCUCGGAGCUUAACUCCGAAACUGCAUUCGAUACUGCCGUGCUUGAGGACUGGAGAGGAGACUGGAAUUCCUGGUGUAGCGGUGAAAUGCGCAGAUAUCAGGAGGAACACCGGUGGCGAAGGCGGGUCUCUGGGCCGAAAUUGACGCUGAGGAGCGAAAGCGUGGGGAGCGAACAGG